rnacentral:lncRNA from 1 species
ACGAGUUCAUCUUCCCAACGUCUCUCUCUCAACUUCUCUUCAUCCCACAUUCCAUUUCAACCGAACCCAACGUCCUCCCAGAUUUCUUCUUCGAACGCCAUCCCGUGCAUCCCAACCUCCAACCGGAUUCCCAGCUUCUUCAACCUCAUCCGGAUUCAUCCCAGCGUCAACCUCCCGAGUCUAUCCACAGCUCCAAGUCCAACAAUUCCACAUCAUUUUCCCUUGCUCCGAGUUCAUCCUUAUUCACAAGCUUCUCAGCAUUCAGCCGGAUCAAAUCCAAACCUCCACGUCCAAAGAACAGAACCGGUGGCCUAUUCCUAGUUGAAUAAAAACUUCAAAUGCUCCUUCCAGAUCAUCUCCCAGCAUCCCAUCUCCUCCCACAACCGGUUAUUCAGCGAUUCAUCUUCAUCUUCUGAACCAAUCCAUCCUCUUCUCCAAAUCACAUCCAACAUCUUCCCAGAUUUCUUCUCCGCCAUAUCCAGCCAACGGCAACACGUUCUAGCUCCCCUGUUCAUGAUCUAUCUUCAUCCCGUAUCCAAACAAAAUCUCUUGCUCCCAGCUGCUUCAUCCUCCCGAACUCCAUGUUCAUCUUCCAGCCUUGCAUCCCCUGUUUGGCUAGAUCUCAGCCAAGAUAGAGCCAAAUCUAAACUUCCCCUGUUUUGGAACCACAUCCUCCCAGCCGCUGGGAUCUUUCAACGCCCACGCAAUGCGUCGGUCUCUUCCGAAUCAUGUCCAGUGUUAGCAAGAAUCCAGCUGAAUCCAACCCUCGGCAACCAUCUCCUCUUCAUCACCCACGGAUUCUUCACAUCCGCGGAUCACACCUAGCCAGCUUCCGAUCUUUUCUCUCUUCAAAACAGAA